UUAAGUGACUAAGCGUAUACGGUGGAUGCCUUGGCAGUUAGAGGCGAUGAAGGACGUGUAAGUCUGCGAAAAGCUGUGGUGAGCCGACAAAAUGCAUUUGAGCCACAGAUGUCCGAAUGGGGAAACCCACCUAUUUAUAGGUAUCGUUGUAUGAAUAUAUAGUACAACGAGGCGAACGAGGGGAACUGAAACAUCUAAGUACCCUUAGGAAAAGAAAUCAACCGAGAUUCCCCUAGUAGCGGCGAGCGAACGGGGAUUAGCCCUUAAGCAAUUAUGAACGUAGUGGAAGCCUCUGGGAAGUGGCGCGAUACAAGGUGAUAGCCCUGUACACGAAGUGUUUGUUUUUGUGAAAUCGAGUAGGUCGGGACACGUGUUAUCUUGACUGAAUAUGGGGGGACCAUCCUCCAAGGCUAAAUACUCCUAACUGACCGAUAGUGAACCAGUACCGUGAGGGAAAGGCGAAAAGAACCCCUGUGAGGGGAGUGAAAUAGAACCUGAAACCGUAUACGUACAAGCAGUGGGAGCAGACUUGUUCUGUGACUGCGUACCUUUUGUAUAAUGGGUCAGCGACUUAUAUUUAGUAGCAAGGUUAAGCGAAUAGCGGAGCCGUAGCGAAAGCGAGUGUUAACUGCGCGUUUAGUUGCUAGGUAUAGACCCGAAACCCGGUGAUCUAGCCAUGGGCAGGUUGAAGGUUGAGUAACAUCAACUGGAGGACCGAACCCACUAACGUUGAAAAGUUAGGGGAUGACUUGUGGCUGGGGGUGAAAGGCCAAUCAAACCGGGAGAUAGCUGGUUCUCCCCGAAAUCUAUUUAGGUAGAGCCUCGGACGAAUUCCAUUGGGGGUAGAGCACUGUUAAGGCUAGGGGGUCAUCCCGACUUACCAACCCUUUGCAAACUCCGAAUACCAAUGAGAACUAUCCGGGAGACACACGGCGGGUGCUAACGUCCGUCGUGAAGAGGGAAACAACCCAGACCGCCAGCUAAGGUCCCAAAAUAUUGCUAAGUGGGAAACGAUGUGGGAAGGCAUAGACAGCUAGGAGGUUGGCUUAGAAGCAGCCACCCUUUAAAGAAAGCGUAAUAGCUCACUAGUCGAGUCGGCCUGCGCGGAAGAUGUAACGGGGCUAAGCAAUAUACCGAAGCUGCGGAUACGUGUUUACACGUAUGGUAGGGGAGCGUUGUGUAAGUGGAUGAAGGUGGAUUGAGAAGUCUGCUGGACAUAUCACAAGUGCGAAUGCUGACAUGAGUAACGAUAAUGGGAGUGAAAAACUCCCACGCCGGAAGACCAAGGUUUCCUGUCCCAUGCUAAUCAGGGCAGGGUAAGUCGGCCCCUAAGGCGAGGCAGAAAUGCGUAGUCGAUGGGAAACGGAUUAAUAUUUCCGUACUUAUAUAAUCAGUGAUGGAGGGACGGAGAAGGCUAAGCAAGCUUGGCGUUGGUUGUCCAAGUGAAAGCAAGUAGGCCGAGUGUUUAGGUAAAUCCGGACACUUAAAGCUGAGAUGCGAGACGAGCUACUACGGUAGUGAAGUUGUUGAUGCCCUGCUUCCAGGAAAAGCUUCUAAACUUAUGAUUAUAUGAACCGUACCCCAAACCGACACAGGUGGUCAGGUAGAGAAUACUAAGGCGCUUGAGAGAACUCGGGUGAAGGAACUCGGCAAAAUUGUACCGUAACUUCGGGAGAAGGUACGCCCUUGUUUGUGAUAGGACUUGCUCCUUGAGCAGAUGAGGGCCGCAGUGACCAGGUGGCUGGGACUGUUUAUUAAAAACACAGCACUCUGCUAACUCGCAAGAGGACGUAUAGGGUGUGACACCUGCCCGGUGCCGGAAGGUUAAUUGAUGGGGUUAUCUUCGGAGAAGCUCUUGAUCGAAGCCCCGGUAAACGGCGGCCGUAACUAUAACGGUCCUAAGGUAGCGAAAUUCCUUGUCGGGUAAGUUCCGACCUGCACGAAUGGUGUAACCAUGGCCACGCUGUCUCCACCCGAGACUCAGUGAAAUUGAAAUCGCAGUGAAGAUGCUGUGUACCCGCACCUAGACGGAAAGACCCCGUGAACCUUUACUACAGCUUGGCACUGAACAUUGAACCUACAUGUGUAGGAUAGGUGGGAGGCUUCGAAGCACAGUCGCUAGAUUGUGUGGAGCCGUCCUUGAAAUACCACCCUUGUAUGUUUGAUGUUCUAACAUUGGUCCCUUAUCGGGAUUAUGGACAGUGUCUGGUGGGUAGUUUGACUGGGGCGGUCUCCUCCCAAAUAGUAACGGAGGAGCACGAAGGUUAGCUAAUCACGGUCGGACAUCGUGAGGUUAGUGCAAUGGCAUAAGCUAGCUUAACUGCGAGACAGACACGUCGAGCAGGUACGAAAGUAGGUCAUAGUGAUCCGGUGGUUCUGUAUGGAAGGGCCAUCGCUCAACGGAUAAAAGGUACUCCGGGGAUAACAGGCUGAUACCGCCCAAGAGUUCAUAUCGACGGCGGUGUUUGGCACCUCGAUGUCGGCUCAUCACAUCCUGGGGCUGAAGUCGGUCCCAAGGGUAUGGCUGUUCGCCAUUUAAAGUGGUACGCGAGCUGGGUUUAGAACGUCGUGAGACAGUUCGGUCCCUAUCUGGUGUGGGCGUUGGAUGAUUGAUGGGAGCUGCUCCUAGUACGAGAGGACCGGAGUGGACGAACCGCUGGUGUUCGGGUUGUCAUGCCAAUGGCAUUGCCCGGUAGCUACGUUCGGAACGGAUAACCGCUGAAAGCAUCUAAGCGGGAAGCCGGCCCAAAGAUGAGUCAUCCCUGACUUUUAAAGUCCGGAAGGGUUGUUAUAGACGAUGACGUUGAUAGGCAGGAUGUGGAAGCGUUGUAAGGCGUUAAGCUAACCUGUACUAAUUGCCCGAGAGGCUUAACCAU
rnacentral:rRNA from 1 species